rnacentral:rRNA from 1 species
GGUUAAGCGACUAAGCGUACACGGUGGAUGCCCUGGCAGUCAGAGGCGAUGAAGGACGUGCUAAUCUGCGAUAAGCGUCGGUAAGGUGAUAUGAACCGUUAUAGCCGGCGAUUUCCGAAUGGGGAAACCCAGUGUGUUUCGACACACUAUCAUUAACUGAAUCCAUAGGUUAAUGAGGCGAACCGGGGGAACUGAAACAUCUAAGUACCCCGAGGAAAAGAAAUCAACCGAGAUUCCCCCAGUAGCGGCGAGCGAACGGGGAGCAGCCCAGAGCCUGAAUCAGUGUGUGUGUUAGUGGAAGCGUCUGGAAAGGCGCGCGAUACAGGGUGACAGCCCCGUACACAAAAAUGCACAUACUGUGAGCUCGAUGAGUAGGGCGGGACACGUGGUAUCCUGUCUGAAUAUGGGGGGACCAUCCUCCAAGGCUAAAUACUCCUGACUGACCGAUAGUGAACCAGUACCGUGAGGGAAAGGCGAAAAGAACCCCGGCGAGGGGAGUGAAAAAGAACCUGAAACCGUGUACGUACAAGCAGUGGGAGCACGCUUAGGCGUGUGACUGCGUACCUUUUGUAUAAUGGGUCAGCGACUUAUAUUCUGUAGCAAGGUUAACCGAAUAGGGGAGCCGAAGGGAAACCGAGUCUUAACUGGGCGUUAAGUUGCAGGGUAUAGACCCGAAACCCGGUGAUCUAGCCAUGGGCAGGUUGAAGGUUGGGUAACACUAACUGGAGGACCGAACCGACUAAUGUUGAAAAAUUAGCGGAUGACUUGUGGCUGGGGGUGAAAGGCCAAUCAAACCGGGAGAUAGCUGGUUCUCCCCGAAAGCUAUUUAGGUAGCGCCUCGUGAAUUCAUCUCCGGGGGUAGAGCACUGUUUCGGCAAGGGGGUCAUCCCGACUUACCAACCCGAUGCAAACUGCGAAUACCGGAGAAUGUUAUCACGGGAGACACACGGCGGGUGCUAACGUCCGUCGUGAAGAGGGAAACAACCCAGACCGCCAGCUAAGGUCCCAAAGUCAUGGUUAAGUGGGAAACGAUGUGGGAAGGCCCAGACAGCCAGGAUGUUGGCUUAGAAGCAGCCAUCAUUUAAAGAAAGCGUAAUAGCUCACUGGUCGAGUCGGCCUGCGCGGAAGAUGUAACGGGGCUAAACCAUGCACCGAAGCUGCGGCAGCGACGCUUAUGCGUUGUUGGGUAGGGGAGCGUUCUGUAAGCCUGCGAAGGUGUGCUGUGAGGCAUGCUGGAGGUAUCAGAAGUGCGAAUGCUGACAUAAGUAACGAUAAAGCGGGUGAAAAGCCCGCUCGCCGGAAGACCAAGGGUUCCUGUCCAACGUUAAUCGGGGCAGGGUGAGUCGACCCCUAAGGCGAGGCCGAAAGGCGUAGUCGAUGGGAAACAGGUUAAUAUUCCUGUACUUGGUGUUACUGCGAAGGGGGGACGGAGAAGGCUAUGUUGGCCGGGCGACGGUUGUCCCGGUUUAAGCGUGUAGGCUGGUUUUCCAGGCAAAUCCGGAAAAUCAAGGCUGAGGCGUGAUGACGAGGCACUACGGUGCUGAAGCAACAAAUGCCCUGCUUCCAGGAAAAGCCUCUAAGCAUCAGGUAACAUCAAAUCGUACCCCAAACCGACACAGGUGGUCAGGUAGAGAAUACCAAGGCGCUUGAGAGAACUCGGGUGAAGGAACUAGGCAAAAUGGUGCCGUAACUUCGGGAGAAGGCACGCUGAUAUGUAGGUGAAGUCCCUCGCGGAUGGAGCUGAAAUCAGUCGAAGAUACCAGCUGGCUGCAACUGUUUAUUAAAAACACAGCACUGUGCAAACACGAAAGUGGACGUAUACGGUGUGACGCCUGCCCGGUGCCGGAAGGUUAAUUGAUGGGGUCAGCGCAAGCGAAGCUCUUGAUCGAAGCCCCGGUAAACGGCGGCCGUAACUAUAACGGUCCUAAGGUAGCGAAAUUCCUUGUCGGGUAAGUUCCGACCUGCACGAAUGGCGUAAUGAUGGCCAGGCUGUCUCCACCCGAGACUCAGUGAAAUUGAACUCGCUGUGAAGAUGCAGUGUACCCGCGGCAAGACGGAAAGACCCCGUGAACCUUUACUAUAGCUUGACACUGAACAUUGAGCCUUGAUGUGUAGGAUAGGUGGGAGGCUUUGAAGUGUGGACGCCAGUCUGCAUGGAGCCGACCUUGAAAUACCACCCUUUAAUGUUUGAUGUUCUAACGUUGACCCGUAAUCCGGGUUGCGGACAGUGUCUGGUGGGUAGUUUGACUGGGGCGGUCUCCUCCUAAAGAGUAACGGAGGAGCACGAAGGUUGGCUAAUCCUGGUCGGACAUCAGGAGGUUAGUGCAAUGGCAUAAGCCAGCUUGACUGCGAGCGUGACGGCGCGAGCAGGUGCGAAAGCAGGUCAUAGUGAUCCGGUGGUUCUGAAUGGAAGGGCCAUCGCUCAACGGAUAAAAGGUACUCCGGGGAUAACAGGCUGAUACCGCCCAAGAGUUCAUAUCGACGGCGGUGUUUGGCACCUCGAUGUCGGCUCAUCACAUCCUGGGGCUGAAGUAGGUCCCAAGGGUAUGGCUGUUCGCCAUUUAAAGUGGUACGCGAGCUGGGUUUAGAACGUCGUGAGACAGUUCGGUCCCUAUCUGCCGUGGGCGCUGGAGAACUGAGGGGGGCUGCUCCUAGUACGAGAGGACCGGAGUGGACGCAUCACUGGUGUUCGGGUUGUCAUGCCAAUGGCACUGCCCGGUAGCUAAAUGCGGAAGAGAUAAGUGCUGAAAGCAUCUAAGCACGAAACUUGCCCCGAGAUGAGUUCUCCCUGACUCCUUGAGAGUCCUGAAGGAACGUUGAAGACGACGACGUUGAUAGGCCGGGUGUGUAAGCGCAGCGAUGCGUUGAGCUAACCGGUACUAAUGAACCGUGAGGCUUAACCUU